UCAUUCUAAGUAGUAUAUUAGAAUCAUUUUUUUUAGGGUCUCUGCGUGAACCAUUGUGCUACAAACUCGCUUUAUAUUAUACCACCUCAUCAUUCUUAUUUUCCUUCCACACCAUUUAUUUUGGGUG